rnacentral:misc_RNA from 1 species
GCAGAAGAUCUAUCUGGUCGCAAAGCAUCCAUGAUAAGGAGUUCACAGUCCUGUAGAAGUGGGUAAGUUUCUUCUGGUAUAUCACUUACAUCGCUGAUAUAACAUGUAUUCCCAAAUCGAAAGCCCAAAGAACGAUAACCAGAACCAUGCCAGACUGGUAAAGGAAUUACCUUAAGAUCAUGUACAACGAAUGGAUCUUCCUUUAUGAUGUUAAAUUGCAACUCUGAGACUGCAGCUCCCGGGAUGAUAUUACUUUUGUCUAUCAAAUAAUAGUGAGUUUUCU